rnacentral:rRNA from 1 species
GUUGGGUAGGGGAGCGUUCUGUAAGCCUGCGAAGGUGUACUGUGAGGUAUGCUGGAGGUAUCAGAAGUGCGAAUGCUGACAUAAGUAACGAUAAUGCGGGUGAAAAACCCGCACGCCGGAAGACCAAGGGUUCCUGUCCAACGUUAAUCGGGGCAGGGUGAGUCGACCCCUAAGGCGAGGCUGAAAAGCGUAGUCGAUGGGAAACGGGUUAAUAUUCCCGUACUGGUGGUAACUGCGAUGGGGGAACGGAGAAGGCUAGGUUGUCCGGGCGACGGUCGUCCCGGUUCAAGCAGGUAGGCAGAGUGAUUAGGCAAAUCCGGUCACUUAAUGCUGAGAUGUGAUGACGAACCACCAAGGUGGUGAAGCAAUUGAUGCCCCGCUUCCAGGAAAAGCCUCUAAGCUUCAGGUUACCAACAAUCGUACCCCAAACCGACACAGGUGGUCAGGUAGAGAAUACUCAGGCGCUUGAGAGAACUCGGGUGAAGGAACUAGGCAAAAUGGUGCCGUAACUUCGGGAGAAGGCACGCUGGCGGUAGGUAAAGUCCCUCGCGGACAGAGCUGAAGCCAGUCGAAGAUACCAGCUGGCUGCAACUGUUUAUUAAAAACACAGCACUGUGCAAACACGAAAGUGGACGUAUACGGUGUGACGCCUGCCCGGUGCUGGAAGGUUAAUUGAUGGGGUUAGCGCAAGCGAAGCUCCUGAUCGAAGCCCCAGUAAACGGCGGCCGUAACUAUAACGGUCCUAAGGUAGCGAAAUUCCUUGUCGGGUAAGUUCCGACCUGCACGAAUGGCGUAAUGAUGGCCAGGCUGUCUCCACCCGAGACUCAGUGAAAUUGAACUCGCUGUGAAGAUGCAGUGUACCCGCGGCAAGACGGAAAGACCCCGUGAACCUUUACUAUAGCUUGACACUGAACAUUGAGCCUUGAUGUGUAGGAUAGGUGGGAGGCUUUGAAGUGUGGACGCCAGUCUGCAUGGAGCCAACCUUGAAAUACCACCCUUUAACGUUUGAUGUUCUAACCUAGGCCCGUGAUCCGGGUCGGGGACCGUGUCUGGUGGGUAGUUUGACUGGGGCGGUCUCCUCCUAAAGAGUAACGGAGGAGCACGAAGGUUGGCUAAGCAUGGUCGGACAUCAUGCGGUUAGUGCAAAGGCAUAAGCCAGCUUGACUGCGAGAGUGACGGCUCGAGCAGGUACGAAAGUAGGUCUUAGUGAUCCGGUGGUUCUGAAUGGAAGGGCCAUCGCUCAACGGAUAAAAGGUACUCCGGGGAUAACAGGCUGAUACCGCCCAAGAGUUCAUAUCGACGGCGGUGUUUGGCACCUCGAUGUCGGCUCAUCACAUCCUGGGGCUGAAGUAGGUCCCAAGGGUAUGGCUGUUCGCCAUUUAAAGUGGUACGCGAGCUGGGUUUAGAACGUCGUGAGACAGUUCGGUCCCUAUCUGCCGUGGGCGUUGGAAGAUUGAGAGGGGUUGCUCCUAGUACGAGAGGACCGGAGUGAACGCACCACUGGUGUUCGGGUUGUCAUGCCAAUGGCAUUGCCCGGUAGCUAAGUGCGGAAGAGAUAACCGCUGAAAGCAUCUAAGCGGGAAACUUGCCUCGAGAUGAGUCUUCCCUGUCGCUUAAAGCGACCUAAAGGAACGUUUAAGACGAAGACGUUGAUAGGCUGGGUGUGUAAGCGUAGCGAUACGUUGAGCUAACCAGUACUAAUGAACCGUGAGGCUUAACCUG